rnacentral:tRNA from 2 species
ACCAGGAUGGCUGAGUGGUUAAGGCGUUGGACUUAAGAUCCAAUGGACAUAUGUCUGCAUGGGUUCGAAUCCCAAUCCUGGUA